rnacentral:lncRNA from 1 species
CUCUAAUCGGACCCACAUGGCUGGGGAGGGCUGCACGCCCCCCACCUUGAUCUGCGCCAGCUCGCUCUUUCAUUCUCCUACCGGCCGGAAUCCGAAGCAGCUCUGAAUGGCCUCAACCACCCACCCAGACCUCCAGCAGCCAGGAAGCAGAGGGUGGAUGGAAGCAAGAGAACCCCUCUAUUCAUCAACCCGGUGCCUGCCAAGAGCCGCAGGGCCCACCUAAGUCCGAGGGUCAAGAAAACCAACAGUCCUUACAAGGCCUGCAGGAACAGCCAUCUGCUCCAGGGCCAUAGAAAGACAGUCCAGACCGAGGAGCUGGAUUCCAUCAGGAUGGAACUGAGUCAGAUCAAAGCCCAGGUGGACAGCCUAUUGGAGAGUCUGGAGUCCAUGGAGCAGCAGAGGCACCAGCACACAGGUGAAGAAUCAAGCAUUGGACCCGGAUAGCCCAGAGGUGGGGACCCUUCCAGGCUC